UACGAAGGGGGCUAGCGUUGUUCGGAAUUAUUGGGCGUAAAGAGCGCGCAGGCGGUCGUUCAAGUCGAGUGUGAAAGCCCCCGGCUCAACUGGGGAGGGUCAUUCGAUACUGAUCGACUCGAAGGCAGGAGAGGGAAGUGGAAUUCCCGGUGUAGUGGUGAAAUGCGUAGAUAUCGGGAGGAACACCAGUGGCGAAGGCGACUUCCUGGCCUGUUCUUGACGCUGAGGCGCGAAAGCUAGGGUAGCAAACGGG
rnacentral:rRNA from 1 species